rnacentral:lncRNA from 1 species
UGGCAUCAUAAUGUGUGGGAACUGGAAUUUAUUGUGUUGGGAGAUUACUGGCUCAGCAUCUGAGGUUGCUGACCUCCACCUUGCAUCUGAGUUCUCUGGCACCAAGUGUUGUUUUCAAUUCUGAGCUUCCAGAUUUCAAUGAAUCAUGAUGCCUGGGCUCAGUGAAUCCUUGGAGAUGAGCGAGCUGGAAAUUAAUUGACUGAAUCUCUUGAGGACAGAAAUACAUCCUCUCCAGAUCAAUUCACUCACCUCCUUCUGAUUCAGCACCAGAGAUGGGGAGGAACACACAUGGAUAUAGAAGGGCUCCCUCAAGUCUCCAUCUCCACAUGGAAGUCCUGGUGGCAUCUUCAGCCAGAGGUUCAUCAACUUAAGCCUCUUCCUUCAGCUCCAGUCACUCAACCAGCAAAUCUCUCCAGAGCAGAAAGCUCCAGUUCAGAAUGAUUCCUGGAAAAGGUGACUGCCUCCAAGAAUCUCACCAGAGCUCACACUGAAAAGAGUGUCCCCUCACAGCACCAACUGAGAGAGGAUCUCCUUGCCAAAUAACCAAGGAAGUCAGGAAUGAGAAUCUUGUCCUUUGGUCUUAUCUUUUAUAGUCCUUUUUUCCAAGUCACUUCCUGUCCCUCCCCUACUUCAUGAGAACCAAUCAUAGCCUCCCAAUUUGCCUAGCAUGAAUUUAGGGGUGGGGAGCACUGCUUGUGGCCUUUGGGGAUGUAAAAUUUUAUCAAAAGGAUUCACAAAUUCCUGACUGAUUGAGUUAAAAGUGUGGAGCACUCCAAAAUACUUGAUUAAGUUAAGAUAAAGACAUUCCCUUUCACAUGUCUUAGAAUUGAUACUAAGGCAAAAGGUAAAGGUUUAAAGAAAACAAACAGUCCUCAGAACAUUAAGGAUUCAAGAACAAUUGCAAGAGAGUGACUUGUCAUAGGAAUGUUUCUUUUGGAGUCUCAUCAAAAUGGACAAAAAGAUAAUAUGAAAAUGAUGAUAA